AUACGGAGGGUGCGAACGUUGUUCGGAAUUACUGGGCGUAAAGCGCGUGUAGGCGGCUUGGCAAGUCAGAUGUGAAAUCCCUUGGCUCAACUGAGGAAGUGCAUUUGAAACUGCCAGGAUAGAGUACGGGAGAGGGUUGUGGAAUUCCCGGUGUAGAGGUGAAAUUCGUAGAUAUCGGGAGGAACAUCGGUGGCGAAGGCGGCAACCUGGACCGAUACUGACGCUGAGACGCGAAAGCGUGGGGAGC
rnacentral:rRNA from 1 species